UCGGGGAGUCUGGGGUCCGGAAU
rnacentral:miRNA from 1 species